rnacentral:lncRNA from 1 species
CAUCUCCACUAUUUUCUUAAUAGUUCCUAAUUAAUUCCCAAAAUUUGAAACUCCCUGUACUCAAAAACAAAAAUCAUGAAACCCCCUUCGUUUUGCAGAAUUCAAGAAUCACUGGUAAGUGAGCUCUUUCUUGUAAUAUUUUCAUGUUUUGUUUGAUUUAAAUACAUGGAAUUUGGUUUUUUGUUGGGAUUUAGGGUUUAUGCUUUUGCAAUUAAUUAAGAUUAUCAUUUUUUUUUUCUUUUGGAAUGUCUAAUCCAAUAGGAAAUGUAAAUCAUAAUAAUUUGAUUUAUCUAGGUCUUUUUGAUCUUUCACUGCAUGGAAAGGAACCUUAAAACAUGAAACCAGUUCGAGCGCCAAAAAUCAGGUGGGGGUUUGCUAAACCCAACUCGAACGCCAACCCAAGGAUAUAAUAUAUAACUUCCAGCAUCUGGGAUAUCCGACCUUAAAACAUGAAAUAUUUAAACCACACAUCAACAGAAAAUGAUACCCACCUCUAAAGUAUCUCCAUAUAUAGAAUUUUUCACAAACUAGGUUUGAUAAAUAUCAAGAACAAAACAUCGCUAAUGUUGUAAACACAUCAUUUUAGGAUAUGACAGUGAUAUGCAGUAUGUUACUGUCAUAGGCACACAAUCUAAACAGAUGUAAAUAUUAUGGAAUUUGAAAACACACCCAGGAUUCAGAUAAAUUCUACUCGAGCUUUUGAAGAGGCCCUUCGCAUGUGUAGCACUUUAUUGGUAGUUGUUUCUAUGAAAUGAGAGUAUUCCUCGCUGCUCAUUCUUCUCUUGUUACUGUUCCAAUUGAUAGUCAUACAUUCUAGGACCCUUGAGUUUUCAAGUAAAAACUCCACUAACGGAAUGUCGAAUGUUUCUCCAACAAACCCAUCUAUGUAUACUGUCUCCAGACAAUAAAAAUGAAGUGAUUGAGAUUUCCAAAACUGUUCUUCAUCAAAGCUCAGGCUGAGUGGACUCUCGAAAACCUGGAUAAGUAACAAUGCAUGUAAGAAUUAUGAAAGAUUAAAGUUAGAAUUGAUGGGAUGAUGAUACAUACCCAAUUUUGUUGAUUGAUCAAGUCGACUUCUAAAGAUAGUGUCUCCAAGUAAGGACAACUGCUUAACAAGCAGGAUAUUCCUGGUAAUUCUUGCUUUGUCAACACCAAGUACAAUCUUAAAUGUUUAAGAUUGGAAAGUGAAGUACAUAAACUCUUUAUAAUCUGCAAGUUCCCAACAAUAUUAUCUGUUUGCCUUGGCAGAAUCUUCAGACAUGUCAGUAAGAAAAAAGCUGUGAGACAAAUACCUUAGAAACAUCAAUUUUGAUAUAGGUAUAAAUAAUAUGUAAAUCAGAACAUACCUGAACACACCAGCUAGACAAUGCUAGGCUUUUGACAUGCUUUACAUCAUGUAAAAAGGCACGGAGAUGAUCACCUCGAUCUAGUAUAAAUUCUGGCUCAAUAAAGAGACCAACAUAGUUUAUGAGUGAAACCUUUUUAACAGUGAAACACCUAAACUUGUCUUCAUCUAUAACUAGAGAAAGUAAUCUUGGAGCAGAAAAUUUGCCAAUAAUAUCAAACUGUGUGUUCAUUGUGCAUCUUCUUAUGAUCAAAUUCUUCAGCUGUAAAUCUCCUUCAUAUUGAAAAUAUCUCCUGUGAAUGUUACACAAGUAAAGGUGAAAGUCUUCCAAAAGUGGACAUUUUGAGACUAGAUCUCCAAUGGAGCCUUCUAGCAACAAAACUUGCUUUAAGUGUAUUCUUCGAAGUGAGUGAAACACUUCAAAAUUGGCUAAUUUAAAGUUGCAGAAGUUCAAUGUCAGGAUCUUUAAUGAUUUGGAUUCAUAGGGUCCAUUAGGCAGCUCAAAAGGUCCUGACUCAUUUGAUCUGAGGUCGUUGAGUGGAAAUUUUAAUUGCUGGGAAAAACUAAGCUCAAGCACUCUGACAUUACUCAUCAGUAUCCUUCUAAUCGAAAGGUCAAUUCUUGAAGUGUAUCCAUAAUAACUGUUAUGGUUGAAAGACAGCCGAAAAUAGUCUAUCGUAUCGCCAGAACGAAGCUGGAGUGUUCGAUCCACAAACUGUACGAACUGCUGUCUUCUUCCCUCAAGGGAGUGUCUUGUACAGCGACGAAAUUCACUGCGAGGUGGUAGCUCGUCACACAUAGAACAAGGACUGUUUCUGUCCAUUUUUGUGUAGAAAACAUUCUCAUCAAUAUUCAGCUUGGACGUAUGGGUCCAAACAUAUCUCCAUCUCUUAGAAAGACCACUUGUUACAACACAAUCUCUUAGUGGCAGCAAAGAGAGAAUGUGUAGAACAACAGAAUGUGGUAACUGGCUUAGAAAAUCAUAGUGUUCAAAAGAAAAUCUCGAUCUUCUAUUGCUGCUGUUGCUGAAUCCAGUCUCACCGAUGAGGUUAGGUCUAUGUCGACUGUUCCCCAUAGUAUAAGCAAGAACAAAAGGUUGUGCUUGUCUAUCCAGCUGCUCAAAUAAAAAUAAGAAUGGUAAAUAUGAAAAAAAAUCCCUGACUAGCUAAUUGAUUAUAAGUUGAACCAGGAUUGUAAAAUAUGACACUAGGGGGAAGGAAUUUGUAAGACUUUCGGAUGAACCACUGGUUAACCCAAAAUGUGUUUAAAAAAUAAAAACUUGAAACGGGAAACAAAGAGGUCCUGAACUAUAUGUUUUAGGUUAGGUGUGGCGAGGAAAUGGGAUUGGUGAACGCUUGGUUCAAAUACAGGGGUCAUAUCAUGACAUUCUUGUAAGCUAAAUAUAUUAUUUUAAUUAGCGAAGGUAGGUUUGACUGCUCGCUCUACUAAAGGCACCCUUUUAGGGUGUCACCAAGGUGCAACGGUUGUUAUUCACCUUGCUUUCCCUCCUAGCAUCACACGGUCGCUUUAGCCUAUCUGGUUUUGGAAGGAAAAUAAUCCAUUGGUGAUACAGGUGUAUCACUUUUAGGAGCCUAGCAAUUCUCGAGUUGUCUUGAGUAUAGACGUAACGUAGCCUAUGACCUAUAUAUUUGGUUUCCGAACCUAUAAAAGAUAUAUUUUGAGCUAAUCCAAAAUAUAGUCUGUUUAGAGACUUUCAAGUGUUUGAAGAGUAUUGUGAGGGAAAUUAAAGAUUCUUGUAAUCUUCAUAAUACUUAAUAGCGAAGAUAUAUUUUUUAAAUCUUGUUUUUUUCUUUUCAUCUUUAUUUUUGUUAUGAUUAUUUAAUUCUGUAUUCAACAAUACUUGUUUGGUAAUUUGUAUCCAUUGAUUACAUGACGAAGUAGUAGUCGAAUAAUCCACUAUGAUUAGUAGUUAAAGAUACAUCUAUAUACACAAAACACAAUUAAGCCAAGAAGUGGUUCGAUGCAAGCCAUAGAUUACAGAAAAGGGAAGAAUAUUAGACAUGCUUAUCGCCUUGAUGGGUUUGUUAACAAUCAAAUUGGGGUUUGCUUCAUACAUAAAAGUUUUGAUUUUUGUGGAUAUUGUUUCGUUUUAGUAUAUGUAUCAGUAUGUAUCAACAAAACAAAAAGAACUAAACAAACAAUCUAGGGGUUUGAUUAAAUACCUUUUAACUAUAUCAGACGGCUGGAAAGAAGAAAAGCUACGAAUGCUAUGUAUUUGUUGGUUAAAUUUAGUAAACAGAAGUGAGAAGAGAGCGAUGAAUGAGAUCCUGAAAUGAGAGAAUGGUGAGAAGAGAAUCAAAUUGUGAAAAAAACUAGAGUAGGUGAAAAAAUAUUUAUCGAAUGGACGAACAUCACUAUGCUGAAUUGGUUGUAAUUUUGUGCCCUCGAUGUGGAAUACAUUUGUAAAUGCUUGGCCUUGACGGGCAUUACAUUUUUAAAUGCUUGACUUUGAUGUGAAUUACAUUUUUAAAUGCCUAUUUUUAUAUCAGGAAAGUGAUAAAAAAAUAUACUAAAUGCAAUGUAUAUGUUAAUUAAGUGGAUACAUAGGAAUCUCUGUAUUUAUUGUCCCCUUAAAAAUGCAUAGGUAUACUUAUGCCGUCGUGAGUGGUCCCGUAAUAAUUUCAUAAUGAUAAUGUAAUUUGUAUGCCAUCGUGAGUGAUCCCGUUUGUGUAUCAUAUUUUCAUGGAGUGGAGUUCAGCUUAAAAAUUGAUAGACUUUUUUUUUUUUUUUUGGCGUUUUCGAAAUGGGUUUUUAACGGGAUAAUAAUAUCAAAGAGAUGCCUAUCUAUCCAUUAAAAAUAUACAAUGUUUUUACUUUAUAUCCCUUAUCACUUUCCUAAUAUGAAAAUAAGUAUUUACAAACGUAAUGUCUAUCAAAGACAACCAUUUACAAAUGUAAUGCCACAUCAAGGCUGCACGAUUGCAACCAAUUUAUCUUAGUGAUGUUCGCCCAUUAGGUUAAGCAUUUUUUCACCUACUCUAGUUUUUUUUUGCAAUCUGAUACUCUCUUCACCACUUUCAUUUCAGGAUUUCAUUCAUUGCUCUGUUCUCAAAACUAUUUACUAAAUUUAUCCCUCAAAAGCAUAACAUUUAUAGCUUUUUUGUAACACAUUGGUUCGAUAGAUGGUUUAUCGGAGGGGUGGGUUCAACGACGCCUAUGGGGCAUGUCCUAAUAUACUAUCACCGAAGCUUUUUAAGUUCACUUGGCAUUAAAGUUCGUAAGAACUCUAGAUUUAAACUUGCUCAGGCAAGAGUAGUAUCAGGAUUGGUGACCUCCUGGGAAGCAGGUUGCUGCCAGUUGGAACCUCACACUGUCAGACAACCGCAGUGGGUAAGUGGGGAUGGUAUUGGUGGUGCAUAUAGGUCGGAUCGCUACAUUUUCUUAGUUCCUAUCAGUCUGAUAUAGUUUAAAGGUAUUAAUCAAACCCAUAGAUUGUUUUUGUAUAUUCUUCUUAUUUGGCUUAUACACACUAAAACGAUAUCCACAAAAAUCAAAACUUUUAUAAAUGAAAUACACCCGAUUUGGUUAUUAACAAAACCAUUGAGGAAUUACACAUAUCCAACAAUUAAUUAAUUAUUUAUAUAUAAACGAUAUCCACUAAUUCUUUGCUUCAUUGUGUUUUGAGUAUGUUAAUGUAUCCUUAACCAUAUUUCAAAAUGCCGAAUAAGAGGGAAUAUUCGACUUAAUAAAAAUCGAAUAAUGUCGCGAAAUACCGACCCAAUUUGUUGGAUUGGGGUGGUUUGACUAAUCUUAAAUCCGUGAAAAAUUACAAAAUUUCAUGAAUAUUCAGAAUAUUCUGAUGAAUCGAAGAGGUGAAAGUGGGAAAAAACAUUUUCUCUCGUAAUCACAACAAAACUCUUUUCUUCAUCAUCAUCUUCUGAACACCUUCAUCAAUAUCAAAGAAACUCAGCUUCUAUAAAAGGUAUCUAUAAAAAGCCCAAAUCUAAUCAUCCAUUAACUCCCCCAUUAUUCAAAAAGAAAAGUUCUUUAGUUUCAUUACAUUCACAUAAAUCAUAUUCUCGUUUCAAUUAAAGGAAAUCAUAAUCCUCCAUAUAUAUAUAUGAUAAGUUUGUAUAAAGGAAUAGAGAAGAUAUACAACAAUGGAAAGAAAAUCUGAUCUAAAGGAAUAGAAAGAUGAUCGUAAAAUUCCAAGAUCUGAUGUGAUUUUGCACCCAAGAUCCGCAAAAUCCAUUGUUUAUAUCGGAUAUCCUCGAAAUAUCCAAAACCCGGGUCGAAGUGGGGUGUUCUACGUUGAGGCAAGAUCCACGCUAUAUUUUCGAUCGGAUUCUUAGGAAAUUGACAUAAUUCAUGGGAUAUCCACGAAUAUCAACGAAAUUUUGAAGCAUGUCCUUAAUUGCUAGUAGUAGUGAAUUAUUCGACUGCUGCUUACUAUGUAAUCAAUGGAUAUAAAUUACCAAACAAUUCAAGUAUUAUUGAAUGCGGAAUUAAUCAAUCAUAACAAUAAUAAAGAUGAAGAAAGAAACAAGAUUCAAAGGAUAUAUCUUUGCUAUAAGUAUUAUGAAGAUCAUAAGAAUCGUUUCCCAGAAUACUUUAAACCCUAGAGAGUCUAUGUUUUGGAUUAGCCCAAAUGUAUCUUUUAUAAGUUUAGACAACUUAUAGUUGGCCCAGGAAAAUAAAUUUUAUUGCCUUAUAAUACAAAGAAAAUCGACCACAAAACUUCUAGAAUAUCGUAGACAAUAAUAAAGGGCGUUGAUAUAGCUCAGUUUGAAACGAGCACUGCGCCUCGAACUUGCAGUCGUAACAUGACGUAGGUCGUAGGCCACGUCACGUGUAUCCUAAAGACCACUCGAGGAUUGCUGGGCUCCUAAAAGGAUGCACCCCUAUUGUUGGAAGUUAGGGUAUUGUAGGCUUUAUAUCUAAGCUAUAUGGGACUAAACUACACACCGAAAGCCUACAAUACCUUUAUUUCCAACACUCCCCCUCAAGCUGAAAUUCAGACUCUGAAUAUCAGCUUGAAAUACAAAAACGUUCUCUCACAUCCCCCAUAAAGUAUCUUGUGAACUACACACCUAAUGCCUGCCUACAAUACCCGUACUUUCAACACGUAUAAUUAAUAAAUUAUUUUAUUCCCAAAAGACACUGUAUAUUUCAGGUUUUCUAAAAAACAAAUCAAAUGAGCUAAAACGACCGUGUGAGGCUAGAGGGAAAGCGAUGUGAAGAACAACCAUUGCGCCUCAGUGACACCCCCAAAAGGGUGUCUUUUGUAAGGCGAGCAGUCUAAACGCCACCGAAGGAGAUAACUACCUUCGUUAAAAUAAAAUAUUUAGGUUAAGGGCAUCUCCAAUGGUUCACCAAAUUUGAUGAGCCAUAUCAGCAAAUUUGUUACCCAAGUUGAUGAACCAUUUGAUGAAAAAAAACCUCCAGUUUCUAAUGGUUCACCAUUUUGAGGCGGGUAAUAGACAAACACUUAAGUUGGGAGCCACUUAAACCAAAGGUUGAGUUGAAGUGGGCAAUGUAGUGCCACUUAACCCAACAGUUAGUUGAGGUGGGCACAAGUGCCACUUAAUUAAAGAGGACUUUGAAGUGUCACUUCAUUACCCACUUAAAGUGAAGCGGGCUUUGCCCGCCCCAUUGCAGUAUCAAAUUUCAUGUUAUCAUCAAAAACUCGUCACAUUGGGUGCAACUGCUCACUCCUUAAUGAAAUCUUAUAGUCAAACAUGAGUGAGAGUGUGCGCAAUGUUAUUGUUCUAUACUGUAUUCAUGAAUAUCCUUUGCUCUUUGAUAUUGUAGUCUUCAGACUAUUUGUUUUUUCGUAAAUGGUUUUGUGCUUAAUGGGUUGAUUAAGUGAUUUUCCAAAAAGACUUUUGUAUUUUUGUUAUUCCAUUGUUUUUCUGUUUUUGUUUUUGUUUUUUUUUUUUUUGAAGAGAUUUUGUUUAAGCAAUUAGCCAGUUCACUAAUUAGUAAUGUACAACCAUGGAAUUGUAAAUACAAAUUUGAGCAUAAUUUAACCAUGGCCUUAUUUAUUUGAUAAACACUGAUCAAGGAGAUCGAUGCUCUGAGUUCUGAGCUGAUAGGAAUAUACCAGUUGACAUGCAUGCAUGAAUUAGGGUGCAUAUACGAGACCACCAUGUACACCCGAUGUGGAAAUCGACAAUAUUUGGGACUUGGUAUGUAGGCCUGCACUGCCCGAUCUAGCAAGCUGAAACUGGUAGUGUAACGCCCCAACUCCGUAUAUCUCAGUCGGCCGCUCUGGAACAUAAGGAAUUUUAGCGCCCAUGCUACUCGACCAACCAGGCAAUAGCCCACCUGUCCAAGCAGCACGUCAACAAGAAAUAAUACCAUUGCAAAACUCUAGUGAGAGAGAACAAUUGGUUAAAACCCAAAACCUGGCAUUUGUAUUAAAUAUCAAAUUGUAUGUACAAAGAAAAGUUUUCUUACAUAACCAUAUCACACAUAUAUACAUCUAGUUUUCAAAAUAUACAAACUCCAUUAUAACAACUAUAACAAAAGCUACGUACAUCUAUAUAUAACUCUGAAGUCUCAAUACUCCUACGACGCUCUCGAAGUUAUUGAGAAUAAUCUCCUGAAAAAGAUGGUAAACAACAAGGAUGAGCUACAGCUCAACAAAUGAAAUCCAACUCACUAAACUUAUCACAAAGAAUAGAAAUACAUUAGUUUAAACAAAAUUCACCUCAUACCAACAGAUCAUAUCAGUCAUUCCAAUUUAUUAGUGCCUUAAUUUAUCUUUAUUUAGUUUGAGGAGUACGCCUGCAUGUACUCAUUACACUACAGGUACACACAUGUAAAUCCCCUCCAUAUGCGGAUAGCUGGAGGUACAGUCUAUACGGCCCCACGCAUGGUCACACUCCCAUCACCCGCAAGUGACUGGUACUGCCAUUGUAUAGACCCAUGUGCUUAACACUUCCUCCCAAGCUUGUAUUAAAUGUGUGUGAAAGCAUCCACCACACGGCCGAAGCCCCCAUUUCAUAAAGGUGUGUGUGACCUCAAUCAACACACGACCGAAGUCCCAAAUCGCAUAAGAGCGCAUAACCACACUUUUUACAAUUCAAAACAUAUCCACUUUCGAGCUCACAAUAGCAUAGAAAGUAGCAUAAGAAGAUUUUUAACAUUAUGCUCUGAACUAUGCAUAUACAUACGCAAUAUCGACAAACCAGGUCUCUAACAAAAUAAUUAAAUAUUUUUAACAUGAAAAUUCAGAUCGAUGUAAUAUGACACACAAGAGGGAUUCAAAUGACAUAUAUUCCAAAACUUACAAAUAUAUCAAAUCAACAACCUGGACAGGUUCAAUUUAAUCGAGCAAUAAAGUGCGAGACGUAUAAAACAUGUCAAGAAAUUCGUACAUGUCAGUUCCUCAUUCCAAGUAUCAAUAGAGUUAUUUAAAACAGAACAAGAGUAAUCCCCUUAUAGACCAUGCCAACUACAUCAGACUUUUACUAACUAUAUGUGCAUUUCAACAUAACAAUUUGUCCAGGAAACAUGUCUAUCAUAUUUGUUCAUUUCAACAGUAACUAGUGUUCAAAUUCUAUUUAAACUGGCAUAUAUUUUAAAAAAAUAAGUAAAUCAACAUGAUUCAGUAGAUGAUGCUUCUCAUAACCUUGGUUCAGGGCAGCAAUGAAAUAAACCAGAACUUGGAUUUAAAAGCACUUAAUUUAAUUGCCAAACUCAAAUAAAAUCAAUACUUAACAAAAACCAGCAAUUAAUCAAAAGGAAUUCAAUUCAAACUAAUAUAAAUCUACACCAAGGGAUAAGAAGAGGGAGAGAGACUUCACUUGCCUCAAGUGCUUGCGAAACCCCUACUCACAAACAAGGAUUCCAAGCUUUAACUUCUAAUUUUCUGCCCACCCAAUUCUCUGUUUCCUUAUCUCCCUUUCACCAAGUUUCUCUAAGUUUAGCUAGCAAAGUGAAGAGAGAGCUGGUUCUAGUGAUAAGAUAAUAUGAAUAGAAUAUUCUAGUUCUAAAUCGACUUAGCAAAAGAUCUAGUUGAAUCUGAUUGUAGAAGUUCUUAGUGGGCUUCAAACAAUGGAAGCUUAAACCCCCAGCCCAACUAUAACCCAUAUAUAUAUAUAACAAGCCCAACUAAUGCAAGCCCAACUAAUGCAAGGUUAUACACAAAAAUAAAUGCAGCAAAACAUAUACUAAAUAUGGCAGAAAAAUAAAAUUGUGAGGCACUACAAUCUACCCACCUAAAAAGAAAUUUCGUCCUCGAAAUUUUACUUACCUCUUACUCAAAAAGAUAAGGGUAUGAUGCUCUAACAUCUUCUUCUCGUUCCCAAGACGCUUCCUUCUCAUUAUGGUGACUCCAUAGCACUUUUACUAAACGGAUAGUGCGGUUGCGCAAAGGAUGUUCCUUACUCUCAAGGAUACGAAUUGGUUUCUCAACAUAGCUAGCAUCAGGCCGAAAAUCUAACUCUUCGAGAUUCACAAACUUUGUUCUUUCUUCUUCCUUCAAAGUUUCCUCUUCUUGGCAUAGAGUCUUUGGUUUCUUUAACAUGGAGACGUGAAAUACAUUAUGCACACCUGCCAGUUUUUCGGGCAAAUCUAACCGGUAAGCAACUGGACCAAUCCUAUCUAGUAUUCGAAAAGGUCCGACAUAUCUAGGAGCAAGCUUUCCCUUUUUCCCAAAACGUUUCACCCCUUUCAUAGGUGACACCCGAAGUAAUACCUCAUCAUUCUUUUGAAAUUCUAAACCCCGACGAUGUUUAUCUGCAUAACUCUUCUGUCGACUUUGGGCAGUACGAAUCCUAUCUCGAAUCAUAGGAACAUACGCAGCAGUUUUAUGAGCCAACUCUGGUCCUAACAAAGCUCUUUCACCAACCUCAUCCCAACACAUUGGCGAUCUGCAAGGCCUGCCAUACAAGGCUUCAAAAGGUGCCAUGCCGAUAGUUGAUUGAUAGCUAUUGUUGUAAGCGAAUUCAACCAAAGGUAAAUGAUCUUCCCAACUACCUUUGAAGUUAAGAAUGCACGCUCGAAGCAUAUCUUCUAAUAUCUGAUUGACCCUUUCAGUCUGGCCAUCUGUUUGUGGAUGGAACGCUGUGCUGAAAUUCAAUGAUGUACCCAUUGCCUUCUGAAAACUCCGCCAAAAGUGAGAAGUAAACUGACUAUCUCGAUCGGAUACAAUAGAUACAGGUACUCCAUGCAGCUUAACAACUUCUUUGAUGUAUUUAGCGCACAACACAUCUAUACCAUGAGUUUUCUUCACUGGUAGGAAAUGAGCUGAUUUUGUGAGUCUAUCAACAAUUACCCAGAUAGUAUUAUUACCUUGUGAAGUUCGAGGUAAACCUUCCACAAAAUCCAUGGUAAUAUGUUCCCACUUCCAUUCAGCUACUGGUAAUGGAUGCAAUGGUCCCGCAGGUUUCUGAUGUUCGGCCUUGACUUGUUGACAAGUGAAGCAUUUAGAGACAUAGUCUGCAAUGUCAUACUUCAUCCCGUUCCACCAAAACGUGCGUUUCAGGUCUUUGUACAUUUUCGUACUUCCAGGGUGUACUGUAUACCUCGAGCGAUGAGCUUCCUCUAAAAUUUCAUUCUUCAAGUUAGCGACAUCAGGAACAACCAGUCGUUGUUGGAACCUUACACCACCAUCUGUACCAAUAGAGAAAUCAGAAUUGUCUUUGUCUGGAACUUCGGCAAUCCUGGCCUGCACCCAAGUAUCUAAUUUCUGCUCCUCAAUAAUCCUGGAAAUUAAAGUGGGUUGUGCAAUCAUUGCCCCCAAGUAUGCAGUAUACUUCUCCGUAUUGGGAUGUAUAUCAAAAUCAACCAGUGUAUCAACCAUAGUCCACCAACUGGUCAUCACGAAAGCUACUGUGGUGUGGGAUUUUCUGCUUAGUGCAUCCGCUACUACAUUGGCCUUUCCCGGGUGAUAUUGAAGAGAUAAAUGAUAAUCUUUUAUGAGCUCUAGCCAUCUUCUCUAUCUCAUAUUCAGAUCUCUUUGUGAGAACAAAUAUUUCAAACUCUUGUGAUCAGUAAAUAUUUCAAAACUUUCACCCAUCAAGUAAUGUCUCCACAAUCGAAGAGCAAAGACAACCGCCGCCAAUUCUAGAUCAUGUGUCGGGUAAUUUUUCUCAUGAGUUCUCAAUUGUCAUGAGGCAUAAGCUACCACUCGGUCACGCUGCAUUAAAACACAUCCUAAAUCCUGGUGUGAUGCAUCCGUAUAAAUCACAUACCCAACUCCGCUUUCAGGAAGUAUUAAAACUGGUGAAGUAGUUAACUUGGUCUUCAAUUCAUUGAAAGAUCUCUGACACUGAUCAGUCCAAACAAAUGAAAUACCCUUGCGAGUCAGCUGUGUCAUAGGAGCAGCAAUAUGAGAAAAAUCUUUUAUGAAACGCCGAUAAUAACCUGCUAACCCCAGGAAGCUUCGUAUCUCUGUAACUGAUUUAGGCGGUGCCCAAUUCAAUAUUGCAUCCACUUUAGAGGGAUCUACCGAUACACCUCCUUCAGAUACUACAUGCCCCAGAAAUUUAACUUCCUCGAGCCAAAAUUCACAUUUCUCGAACUUAGCAUACAACUGAUGUUCUUGAAGUGUUUGGAGUGUGAUCCUUAAAUGGUCAGCAUGUUCUUCGCGAGUUCUUGAAUAAACCAAAAUAUCAUCUAUAAAGACAAUUAUGAACUGAUCUAAGAAUCCUCUAAACACCCGGUUCAUAAGAUCCAUGAAAAAUGCAGGGGCAUUUGUCAAUCCAAACGGCAUUACUAGAUACUCAUAUGAUCCAUAACGUGUCACAAAAGUAGUCUUAGGCACAUCUGCUUCUCGAACCCUCAACUGAUGAUAACCCGAUCUCAAGUCAAUUUUAGAGAACCAUUGUGCACCCUUGAGUUGGUCAAACAAAUCAUCAAUACGAGGUAAAGGGUAUCUGUUUCGAAUUGUCACCUUGUUUAAUUCUCUGUAAUCAACACAUAGGCGAAGAGAUCCAUCUUUCUUCUUAACAAAGAGAACUGGUGCACCCCAAGGUGAUGUACUUUGUCGAAUAAAACCCCUGCUCAAGAAGACCCUGAAUUUGAACUUUCAAUUCUCUAAGUUCUGUAGGUGCCAUACGGUAUGGAGCUCUAGCAAUUGGAACAACCCCUGGAAUCAGCUCAAUGCUAAACUCAACUUCUCGAUUAGGAGGCAAACCUUUAAUUUCAUUAAACACAUCAGCAUACUCUGCCACAGUGUCAAUUGAUGCAAUAUCAUUCUUACCCAUCUCAAGUUCUAUAUGAGCUAAAUAAGCUUCAGCCAAAACAUUCCCCUUUGCAGUCGCAAUAACUAUCGGUUGAUGUCCAGGAAUAUCCAGACGUAAUGUCUUGGCAAUACAAUCUAUGUUGCCAUGGAAAUCCUCCAUCCAAUUCAUUCCCAAAAUCACAUCAUACCGACGCAUAACGAGCACAAUUAAAUCAUAAGGAAAUUUAAGAUCAUCGAGGCUAAUCAUACAUUUCCUACAGAUUUUAUCUGCUACUUUAAUUCCUUCCCCAGCGGGCAGCAAUACAAACAUAGAUUCUAGCAUAUACUCGGGUUGAAUAUCAAGCAUGAGCAUAAAAGCAUGAGAUAUAAAAGAACGAUCAGCUCCAGCAUCAAAUAAUAUUCUGGCGGGUUUAGAAUUGACAGAAAAAAUACCUUCCAGUAAAGUUCCACUAGCUUCUCCAUCUCGGGACAUUCCAGUAUAAACACGACCUUGUGGAGGUUCAACAUGAGAUGAUGCAUCUGCCAUUACCAUGUCUCUUCCCACUUGUUCAAUAGCAAACAUCUGACCAUGUCGUUUAUCUGGUGCACGAUCAGCUGGUCCCUUCCAUGAUCCCUGAGAUCCAUAUGAUUUCUGCCCCGAUAUUUUCUACUCAUUCAUUUUCUGUUCAUACGGUUUGCCUUCUGGUUUUCCCUGAUCUGUUUUCACCCAAUUUCUUUCCGGAACUCUGCAUUCAAAAGCUUUAUGUCCGACCUUGCUACAAAUGAAACAAUUCCCCAGAAACUUAUUGCGCUUUGUUCCAUCUGUAGAGGCAGUAGAAGAGGAGCUACUGUUUUGCUUCUUAUAGGGAGGUUGUGAUGUUUCUAGUCGUGAAUGUUGCGCCUUUUUCCCUUUAGCAUAAUCAUUUGGUCGACCGUGUUCCAUAAAAUCUUGUUCUAGCAAAGUAGCAAGAUCUGAUGCCUGCCUAACUGUAGGGUAAUGGUGGCCUUUAACCAUCCGUCGCAACCCAUCCCUCAAACCUUCUUCAAACUGUCUAGCUUUCUGGAAUUCAUCCAUAUUCAUGUGAGUGGCAAAGCGUGCAAGUCUAGUAAACCGAGUUUCAUACUCUACACUGUCAUUGUCCCUUGCUGCAAAUUUAUAAAUUCUCUUGCCUUGGCUGCCCUCAAAGAAUGAGGAAAGUACCGCAAAUCAAAACGCCUACAAAAAUCUUCCCAAGUAAUAUCAUGCAGAUUUUCAAUCCUUGUCACUGAUUUCCACCAAAUUGAAGCAUCUCCCAUCAAGCAAAGUGACGCAAGUCGUUGUUUCUGAACCUCAGUAUAACCCAUAGCAUCAAACAAGUUCUCGAUAUCUUCCUUCCAAUCCUCUACUACAGUAACAUCAAAUGAACCACUGAAUCUAGGAGGUUUCAUCUUCAUAAAACCUUCUACCAUUCUUCUCCACGCUUCAUUAUCUUGCACUGCCUGAAAGUCUAUUGGAACUUCUGGGCCAUUUUGUGCUACCUGAUUAACUGGUGGCACUGCAUCCAAGUUAAUAACUGGUGGCGCUUGAGAGGCAUCUCUACCAGCCUCUAACGCAUCAAGUCUCCGAUUCGCAUAUUCUAACAUUCUAGUAAGGUCUCCAACCCAUGUAGGUACUUGCUCAGGAGCAGGAGGCCCCGAGGUACCCGCUUCUGACGUAGGAUUCUCAUUAUUCACAACCCCAAUGUCUGCUAAACAGACUGUCUUACGAGUUCGAGCUGCUCUCUCUGAAGCAGACAUUCUGAAAUACGAAGAUGAUAAUAAACAGCUGCAUACACAAUUAAACAUAUACAAACACUACAUCCACGAAGCAAAAUAACAUUAGAACGAAUAUAUAACUAAUCGUCCUCACUCAUUUCUAUCUGGUCACCCCUAACCUUAGACGAAUUCUAGGAAAUAAACCUACAGCUCUGAUACCAAAUCUGUAACGCCCCAACUCCGUAUAUCCCAGUCGGCCGCUCUGGAACAUAAGGAAUUGUAGCGCCCAUGCUACUCGACCAACCAGGCAAUAGCCCACCUGUCCAAGCAGCACGUCAACAAGAAAUAAUACCAUUGCAAAACUCUAGUGAGAGAGAACAAUUGGUUAAAACCCAAAACCUGGCAUUUGUAUUAAAUAUCAAAUUGUAUGUACAAAGAAAAGUUUUCUUACAUAACCAUAUCACACAUAUAUACAUCUAGUUUUCAAAAUAUACAAACUCCAUUAUAACAACUAUAACAAAAGCUACGUACAUCUAUAUAUAACUCUGAAGUCUCAAUACUCCUACGACGCUCUCGAAGUUAUUGAGAAUAAUCUCCUGAAAAAAGAUGGUAAACAACAAGGAUGAGCUACAGCUCAACAAAUGAAAUCCAACUCACUAAACUUAUCACAAAGAAUAGAAAUACAUUAGUUUAAACAAAAUUCACCUCAUACCAACAGAUCAUAUCAGUCAUUCCAAUUUAUUAGUGCCUUAAUUUAUCUUUAUUUAGUUUGAGGAGUACGCCUGCAUGUACUCAUUACACUACAGGUACACACAUGUAAAUCCCCUCCAUAUGCGGAUAGCUGGAGGUACAGUCUAUACGGCCCCACGCAUGGUCACACUCCCAUCACCCGCAAGUGACUGGUACUGCCAUUGUAUAGACCCAUGUGCUUAACACUUCCUCCCAAGCUUGUAUUAAAUGUGUGUGAAAGCAUCCACCACACGGCCGAAGCCCCCAUUUCAUAAAGGUGUGUGUGACCUCAAUCAACACACGACCGAAGUCCCAAAUCGCAUAAGAGCGCAUAACCACACUUUUUACAAUUCAAAACAUAUCCACUUUCGAGCUCACAAUAGCAUAGAAAGUAGCAUAAGAAGAUUUUUAACAUUAUGCUCUGAACUAUGCAUAUACAUACGCAAUAUCGACAAACCAGGUCUCUAACAAAAUAAUUAAAUAUUUUUAACAUGAAAAUUCAGAUCGAUGUAAUAUGACACACAAGAGGGAUUCAAAUGACAUAUAUUCCAAAACUUACAAAUAUAUCAAAUUCAACAACCUGGACAGGUUCAAUUUAAUCGAGCAAUAAAGUGCGAGACGUAUAAAACAUGUCAAGAAAUUCGUACAUGUCAGUUCCUCAUUCCAAGUAUCAAUAGAGUUAUUUAAAACAGAACAAGAGUAAUCCCCUCAUAGACCACGCCAACUACAUCAGACUUUUACUAACUAUAUGUGCAUUUCAACAUAACAAUUUGUCCAGGAAACAUGUCUAUCAUAUUUGUUCAUUUCAACAGUAACUAGUGUUCAAAAUCUAUUUAAACUGGCAUAUAUUUUAAAAAAAUAAGUAAAUCAACAUGAUUCAGUAGAUGAUGCUUCUCAUAACCUAGGUUCAGGGCAGCAAUGAAAUAAACCAGAACUUGGAUAUAAAAGCACUUAAUUUAAUAGCCAAACUCAAAUAAAAUCAAUACUUAACAAAAACCAGCAAUUAAUCAAAAGGAAUUCAAUUCAAACUAAUAUAAAUCUACACCAAGGGAUAAGAAGAGGGAGAGAGACUUCACUUGCCUCAAGUGCUUGCGAAACCCCUACUCACAAACAAGGAUUCCAAGCUUUAACUUCUAAUUUUCUGCCCACCCAAUUCUCCGUUUCCUUAUCUCCCUUUCACCAAGUUUCUCUAAGUUUAGCUAGCAAAGUGAAGAGAGAGCUGGUUCUAGUGAUAAGAUAAUAUGAAUAGAAUAUUCUAGUUCUAAAUCGACUUAGCAAAAGAUCUAGUUGAAUCUGAUUGUAGAAGUUCUUAGUGGGCUUCAAACAAUGGAAGCUUAAACCCCCAGCCCAACUAUAACCCAUAUAACAGAAAUCUAUAGAUAUAUAUAUAUAACAAGCCCAACUAAUGCAAGCCCAACUAAUGCAAGGUUAUGCACCAAAAAUAAAUGCAGCAAAACAUAUACUAAACAUGGCAGAAAAAUAAAAUUGUGAGGCACUACAGGUAGCAUCACUGCAUGAACAGAAUUUCAAGUGGGGGCUAUUCGAUAGUUUGACAGACUCUGCAUGAGCAAGAUGAUGAAGGUUCCCUGUUUUUCAUUUAAAUAAAAUUGGAUCUUUCAUGCUUUAUGUAUUUAGUUUUUAGUUUUUUCAAAUGUCAAACUGCAGGAGCAGGAAGUGAUCAAACUAAUUAAAGCUGCAGCUGAAUGAAUUUAUUGAUCGAAGCGAGGCAAGGAUGAGCUUACUUACACUCUUUAGCAAGUCUCAAAUUAUGUAGGAUUCUUUUAACAUAUCUUAAGUUGAUAUCUAAAUAAUACUUGAACAUGGCUUGAGGUAAUAAUCCAAUCGAAGACAAGCCGAGGGGGUGGCUACAAUAAUUUGCUUCUGUUCUUCACAACUAAUUAAAACGAGAUGUCUGUCAGUGUGUGUGUACUGAAUACUGUUCUGAAAUUGAUCAAUAGGAUUUUAAUUUAUUUCGCUCUUAGCCUCUUA